UACGUAGGGGGCGAGCGUUGUCCGGAAUCAUUGGGCGUAAAGCGCGUGUAGGCGGCUCGGUAAGUCUGCUGUGAAAGUCCAGGGCUCAACCCUGGGAUGCCGGUGGAUACUGUCGAGCUCGAGUCCGGAAGAGGCGAGUGGAAUUCCUGGUGUAGCGGUGAAAUGCGCAGAUAUCAGGAGGAACACCAAUGGCGAAGGCAGCUCGCUGGGACGUGCCUGACGCUGAGACGCGAAAGCGUGGGGAGCAAACAGG
rnacentral:rRNA from 1 species